rnacentral:rRNA from 1 species
GACGAACGCUGGCGGCGUGCCUAAUACAUGCAAGUAGAACGCUGAAGGAGGAGCUUGCUUCUCUGGAUGAGUUGCGAACGGGUGAGUAACGCGUAGGUAACCUGCCUGGUAGCGGGGGAUAACUCUUGGAAACGAUAGCUAAUACCGCAUAAGAGUAGAUGUUGCAUGACAUUUGCUUAAAAGAUGCAAUUGCAUCACUACCAGAUGGACCUGCGUUGUAUUAGCUAGUUGGUGGGGUAACGGCUCACCAAGGCGACGAUACAUAGCCGACCUGAGAGGGUGAUCGGCCACACUGGGACUGAGACACGGCCCAGGCCCCUUCGGGAGGGAGCAGUAGGGAAUCUUCGGCAAUGGACGGAAGUCUGACCGAGCAACGCCGCGUGAGUGAAGAAGGUUUUCGGAUCGUAAAGCUCUGUUGUAAGGGAAGAACGAGUGUUAGAGUGGAAAGUUCACACUGUGACGGUAUCUUACCAGAAAGGGACGGCUAACUACGUG